rnacentral:misc_RNA from 1 species
UUUGGUCUAUCAUGAUUCAAGACACAGAUAUGUGAGUAUUAUGCUUUUUACAUAUGGACAUGUUUGUGUCUUAAGUUUAGAUAAAAAUUUUUCAUAUUUUUGGUCCAAUCCUUAACCUGAGGGAGCAGUAUCUAUUAUGGAGUUCCAGUGAAGGCACAAGUUAUCUUGAUGAACCUGAAGCAGUUAGCUCUUCCAGAGAAUCUAAGUUUUAUGAAAUUUUUCAUAAAUUUGCUGUGUGACCC